rnacentral:rRNA from 1 species
GAUGAACGCUGGCGGCGUGCCUAAUACAUGCAAGUCGAGCGAACAGACGAGGAGCUUGCUCCUCUGACGUUAGCGGCGGACGGGUGAGUAACACGUGGAUAACCUACCUAUAAGACUGGGAUAACUUCGGGAAACCGGAGCUAAUACCGGAUAAUAUAUUGAACCGCAUGGUUCAAUAGUGAAAGACGGUUUUGCUGUCACUUAUAGAUGGAUCCGCGCCGCAUUAGCUAGUUGGUAAGGUAACGGCUUACCAAGGGGACGAUGCGUAGCCGACCUGAGAGGCUGAUCGGCCCCACUUGAACUGAGACACGGUCCAGACUCCUACGGGAGGCAGCAGUAGGGAAUCUUCCGCAAUGGGCGAAAGCCUGACGGAGCAACGCCGCGUGAGUGAUGAAGGUCUUCGGAUCGUAAAACUCUGUUAUUAGGGAAGAACAAAUGUGUAAGUAACUAUGCACGUCUUGACGGUACCUAAUCAGAAAGCCACGGCUAACUACGUG